rnacentral:lncRNA from 1 species
GGCUUGAAGCUAGUUAUGAACAAGAUACCGAACUCAACUUACAAGAGCAAUUUGAUUUACUAUCGUCGGAAAUGGAUUCAAUGCAGGAAAAUCAGUUCAAAACUUUGCAGGCUAUUAACCAAUUGAAAGAAAAACAGCAGAAGCUAUUGAUAGUGGAUGUUAAUUCCAAAACACAUGGCCAAAUAUUUGUACCAAUGGAAGUGCCUAUAAAGCGAUCAAAAUUACAGUGAGGGUACCCAAAUUUCAACAAUGUUGACCGUUUUUUUUAUCUUUCGUUAAUAUAUGCUCCGUACACUUUGUGUUUAUUUCUUAGAUGUAUCAUUAUUAACUACAUAUUUUCACCUAUUACAUUUUGAAUCCAUAUCGAAUCAUAGGAAAUCAUGGUCUGAAAUGACCUCCAAACCAUCAAUGAUUCUGUAAUAAGGAUAUACCUAAAUUACAUCGUCAACAGUCGAAUAACACAGCUUUUGUUAAAUUUAUUCAAAUAUUUUGAACAAUUGGAUAUAAAUCCAUUAUUACUCUAUGUUUCUUUAUGAAAAUGAAUGCUUGUAACAUAUUGUAUUUAAAAAUGUUAAAACGAUGACGUUUUGAUGACGUCGCAUGGUUUCGUACAUUUUUUGAGUAAACAUUUCUAACGCCUAAAUCUGUACUAACAUUUUCAGUUUUUGACAUCCAGUUUCAAUAACGCAAAUGUACAUUUUUUACCAUACAUUUUCUCAAAUAUUCAUACAAGAACAUUUUCAAUCAAUGUUAAUAUUAGGUGUGGAAUAUAGUUGACGUUUUGUUUUCUAUUAUCGUAUUUUUAUAUAUUUUAGUUGUCACAUUUCAAAUCAAAGGCG